rnacentral:miRNA from 1 species
UCUGUGCUUCACCCCUACCCAG